rnacentral:rRNA from 1 species
CCUACGGGAGGCAGCAGUGAGGAAUAUUGGUCAAUGGGCGCUAGACUGAACCAGCCAAGUAGCGUGAAGGAUGACUGCCCUAUGGGUUGUAAACUUCUUUUAUAUGGGAAUAAAGUGCAGUAUGUAUACUGCUUUGCAGGUACCUUCUGAAUAAGGAUCGGCUAACUCCGUGCCAGCAGCAGCGGUAAUACGGAGGAGACGAGCGUUAUCCGGAUUUAUUGGGUGUAAAGGGAGCGUAGGCGGGUUGUUAAGUAAGGUGUGAAAGUUACUGGACCAACCGUAAAAUGGCAGUUGAUACUGGCAGUCUUGAUUACUGUAGAGGUAGGCGGAAUUCGUAGUGUAGCGGGGAAAUGCUUAGAUAUCGCGCAGAACUCCGAUUGCGAAGGCAGCAUGCUGGACUGUAACUGACGCUGAUGCCCGAAAGUGUGGGUAUCGAACAGGAGUAGAUACCCGGGUAGUC